CACGUUUCUUCACGGAGUCCAAGGAAAACACUUUACCGAACUCAUGUGGGGUGGCCCUGUAAGUUGUGCAGCACUGUUGUACCAACCAAGAGUGACAUUUUAAAGCAUUACAGACUGCACCAUGGGACCUUUGGACACAGCCAUUCCUUGCCUUGCAUUCAUGUCUGACAUGGAGCUAAAAGAAGACUGGUCCGGGGAUGGACCCUUGCGGGACUCCUACGGGGCAUUCAAGAAUUGGGUCACUUGAAGCACUUGGUGCAAAAUCCUGGCUUUUGGAAGACAAAACGCGACAAAAGGCAGCAGACGGAAACGCUAUCAAUGAAGUGAUUGUCUGUUGCCAUGGAGAUUUGGCACAA